CCUAUUCUCAGUUCUACAGCAAAUACGUGUAAAAUUUCAUAAAAAUCGGUCAAGCCGUUUCGAAGAAGUGUGGUAACUAAUAUUGUGAGAGGAGAAUUUUAUAUAUUAUUUAAGUAGCUGUGAAUUAAUUAAAAAAAUUGUGGGAGCUGUAACGGUAUAUCUGGUGAUGUUUAUACAGUUUGAUCUAGCCUCCAGGAAACAAAGUGAACAAACACAGUGAACCAGGUUAGGAAAAGCAAAUCCAGCAGUUAGGUUAUAUUAAUAUAGUCUAUAAGUGUAGGUAAAUAAUGUUAAAUGAUGAUUGUGAAUAAUUAUUUUGAUUUAUUGUCUGUAGACAA